rnacentral:lncRNA from 1 species
AAAAAUUAAAGAAUAAUCAAUGAAUAAAUAAAAAUCAGUAAAUUAUAGCAACAACAGGCUGCCAACGAAAUUAUAGCAAUGAAUUAGAGGGAGGCUGACACGAUUGUGAUGAAUCGGAGGCAAGGCUGACACAAGCAGGAUAGAGUGAACUACAAUAGGUUGGGUACAACGGCGAUGACAGCAGCGUCAUAGCGAGAUGAACGGUAAAGGGGUGGCUGAUAGGUGAUCGUGGUGGAUUGGGCUGUGUGUCGGCAAUAGUGAGAGAGAUGGUGAUGAUUGGUGAGUGUGUCAGCUAGUGUGAGAGACAGAUAGGGUGGAUGUUGUGUGUACUUGUCUGUG